GACGAACGCUGGCGGCGUGCCUAAUACAUGCAAGUCGAACGGUUUAGUUCCAAGAGGCUUGCCUUUUGGAACUAGACAGUGGCGGACGGGUGAGUAACACGUAGGCAACCUACCUGUCAAACCGGGAUAACCUCGGGAAACCGAAGCUAAACCCGGAUAAGCUCCUUUUUCGCAUGAAGGGGGAGUGAAAAGGUGCGACCUGAUGACAGAUGGGCCUGCGGCGCAUUAGCUAGUAGGUAGGGUAACGGCCUACCUAGGCGAUGAUGCGUAGCCGACCUGAGAGGGCGUACGGCCACACUGGGACUGAGAUACGGCCCAGACUCCUACGGGAGGCAGCAGUAGGGAAUCUUCGGCAAUGGGCGAAAGCCUGAUCGAGCAACGCCGCGUGAGUGAGGAAGGCCUUCGGGUUGUAAAACUCUGUUGUUUGGGAAGAAGGGAAAGGGUAGGACCCUUAGGUGACGGUACCAAACGAGAAAGCCCCGGCUAACUACGUG
rnacentral:rRNA from 1 species